ensembl:lncRNA
CCUGCAGAAGGGAUGUUAGUUUCCAAUGAGUCUGAUUCAGGCGAUUGAAGCAUUCUGAGGAGGUGAGCCGGUCCGUCCAAUUCCAGUCUGAGCGCCGCUCAUUAGGGCACGACAGCGCAGGCAGCCGGGGGGACGCGGCAGCACCCGGUCCACCCUGACUCAGGCAUCCAGCGGGGCAUCUGGCAGGGCUACACUUCAGAACGGAAGGGCCAAAAUGACAUCUCCAAUCCAGAUGCUGGGGCCAAUCAUGAUGGGAAAAUUGACAAGUGAUGCACUCCUUAAGAUCCAUCCAUCUGUCACUCCAAUUCCCUGAGGCUGUCCCGUGGACCGCUGUGGUUUCUGGUGAUCAUAACAGAUAAUUACCCACCUCCCUGGACAGCCAUACUGCACAUGUCUCCCCGAAGCACUAGUGAUCUCCUAGUGAAUGUGCUGCACUUGUGAAAGCUCAGUGUGUGAGUAACAAGCUAGAAGUGGCAGUGGUUCAGUCCCUUAUGUCACCCAGAUAGUCUUCAGAUGGCACGCAAAGGGGGCACUGUUGCUGUUCUGAAGGAGAGAGCUGGCAGCUUGCUGCAGUGAGUGAGUGACCAAAGGAAAAUCAUUGCUCAGUGACCGACGGGGAAGCUGCACUGAUCGCCAUUGAUCCUUUAGUGCUGUCCCCUAGCUUGACCACUGCCCUUGUGCCCGUGCAAGGCUAACAUAGUUUUAUCAGGCUGGACCACUGCAUUACAGCCAAUACACAAUAACCCCAGUACUGUACGGAUGCCUGUGUGUGCAAUAAGAGACCUCAGAUGCACUGAGGAUACUCUGCAUAUUCCUGGAUAUUCUACAUGCUCCUUAUCGGUUUGUAUUAGUGGGCAUGUGAGAUGACAUGCAAGGUAUUAGAGAGAUUUAUUUGGUCUAACAUUGUAAAACUGCGUAAUUUGUUAAGGAAAAUUAAUUAAGAUAUGACUGUAGUUUCCCCUAAUCUAAAAGAGUCAACU